GCUUACACAUGCAAGUCGAGCGGGUGUAGUAAUACAUCAGCGGCAGACGGGUGAGUAACGCGUGGGAACGUACCUUUUGGUUCGGAACAACACAGGGAAACUUGUGCUAAUACCGGAUAAGCCCUUACGGGGAAAGAUUUAUCGCCGAAAGAUCGGCCCGCGUCUGAUUAGCUAGUUGGUAGGGUAAUGGCCUACCAAGGCGACGAUCAGUAGCUGGUCUGAGAGGAUGAUCAGCCACAUUGGGACUGAGACACGGCCCAAACUCCUACGGGAGGCAGCAGUGGGGAAUAUUGGACAAUGGGGGCAACCCUGAUCCAGCCAUGCCGCGUGAGUGAUGAAGGCCCUAGGGUUGUAAAGCUCUUUUGUGCGGGAAGAUAAUGACGGUACCGCAAGAAUAAGCCCCGGCUAACUUCGUGCCAGCAGCCGCGGUAAUACGAAGGGGGCUAGCGUUGCUCGGAAUCACUGGGCGUAAAGGGUGCGUANGCGGGUCUUUAAGUCAGGGGUGAAAUCCUGGAGCUCAACUCCAGAACUGCCUUUGAUACUGAAGAUCUUGAGUUCGGGAGAGGUGAGUGGAACUGCGA
rnacentral:rRNA from 1 species